rnacentral:rRNA from 1 species
AAAUUUUGAUCCAGUAAGCACGGUUUUGGCCUUUUCGCCAUUCUGUUGGCUCGGUUAUUAGCAUCAACAGCUUUGUAAUAGCGUCUGCCCCGAUUACGCUGAACUUCACGUGAGAUCGUCGAAGGACUGCGAU